CUCAACGGGGGAGGGUCAUUCGAAACGGCGGAACUGGAGGCAGGGAGAGGUCGGUGGAAUUCCCGGUGUAGUGGUGAAAUGCGUAGAGAUCGGGAGGAACACCAGUGGCGAAGGCGGCCGACUGGACCUGGCCUGACGCUGAGGCGCGAAGGCGUGGGGAGCGAACGGGAUUAGAUACCCCGGUAGUCCACGCAGUAAACGAUGUGCACUAGGUGUGGGGGGUGUAGACCCCCUCCGUGCCGGCGCUAACGCAGUAAGUGCACCGCCUGGGGAGUACGGCCGCAAGGCUAAAACUCAAAGGAAUUGACGGGGGCCCGCACAAGCAGCGGAGCGUGUGGUUUAAUUCGACGCAACGCGCAAAACCUUACCAGGGCUUGACGUCCGCGGAAUCUUGGUGAAAGCCGAGAGUGCCUUCGGGAGCCG
rnacentral:rRNA from 1 species